rnacentral:rRNA from 1 species
CCUACGGGAGGCAGCAGUGAGGAAUAUUGGUCAAUGGACGAGAGUCUGAACCAGCCAAGUAGCGUGAAGGAUGACUGCCCUAUGGGUUGUAAACUUCUUUUAUAAAGGAAUAAAACGAGGCACGUGUGCCUUUUUGCAUGUACUUUAUGAAUAAGGCUCGGCUAACUCCGUGCAAGCAGCCGCGGUAAUACGGAGGAUCCGAGCGUUAUCCGGAUUUUUUGUGUUUAAAGGGGGCGUAGAUGGGUUGUUAAGUCAGUUGUGAAAGUUUGCGGCUCAACCGUAAAAUUGCAAUUGAUACUGGCAGUCUUGAGUACAGUUGAGGUAAGCGGAAUUCGUGGUGUAGCGGUGAAAUGCGUAGAUAUCACGAAGAACCCCGAUUGCGAAGGCAGCUUACUAGACUGUGACUGACAUUGAUGCUCGAAAGUGUGGGUAUCAAACAGGAUUAGAUACCCGGGUAGUC